rnacentral:rRNA from 1 species
AACGUAGGUGGCAAGCGUUAUCCGGAAUUACUGGGCGUAAAGGGCUCGUAGGCGGCCUACUAAGUCGGACGUGAAAUCCCUCGGCUUAACCGGGGAACUGCGUCCGAUACUGGAUGGCUUGAGUUCGGGAGAGGGAUGCGGAAUUCCAGGUGUAGCGGUGAAAUGCGUAGAUAUCUGGAGGAACACCGGUGGCGAAGGCGGCAUCCUGGACCGACACUGACGCUGAGGAGCGAAAGCCAGGGGAGCAAACAGG